CUCAGUUGGUUAGAGCAACGGACUGUUAAUCCGCAGGUCCCUGGUUCGAGUCCAGGUGGGGGCGCAA
rnacentral:tRNA from 1 species